GACAGGUAUCUAGAAUACAUAAAGGUCCCUUGGAAAUCAACAUUUAAAGAAAUCCAAUUAGAAAAUGGGUAAAAUGCCUGAACAGACAUUUCACUAAAAAUAAAAAAAAAUGUACAGAUGACAAAUAAACUCAUCAUCUUUUCAGAUUGUCACCUUCAUUAGCCAUCAGAGGAAGGCACAUGAAAUUCACAUGGUCACUACACUCCUAUCAGAAUAGUAAAAAACCAAACAGGGCGGCAACACCAAAUGCUUGUGAGGAUGUGAGGAAUUGGGCCACUCGCGCCCUGUGAGCCCCAUGGAAAGUGGGGCCACUCUCUGGGAAAUCAGUGCUCCAGUUUCUUGAAAAUCUAAACAAGCAACUAUCAUACGACCCAGAAAUUACACUCCUGGGCAUUUUUCCCGGACAAAUGGAAACGUAUGUUCACACGAAAAACCUAUACAGUGUUUGUAGCAGCUUUGUUUUUAACAGCCCCAAAGUGGAAACAACCCAGAUGUCCUUCAACAAGCAAAUGGUUAAACAAACUGGGCUACAUCCAUGCCACAGUCAACAACUCUCCAAUACGAAGGAUCAAACUAUCCAUACACCAAGCCGCUUGGGAGGAUCUCCAGGGAUGAAUGAAAAAAACCAACCCCCAAAGAUGACAUCCUAUAUGGCUGCAUUGACAUGGCAUUCUUAAAAUGAGAAAAAUAAAGAAAUGGAGGACAGAGGAGUGGGUGCCGGAGGUGGCAGGAAGGGAGGAAGAGCGUCACCCAUGGGGCUUGGGGGGCAGUAUUUGUGGUUACAGGAUGCUGUACAUGUUGUUGGUAUUGAUGUCAAUAUCCUGUGACCUCAGACAUUUGCAAAACGUUACCAAUGGGG
rnacentral:lncRNA from 1 species